CCUUGGCAUCAACCAUUUCUCCAAAGGAGCUCCAAUUUCAUUUUCAGUAAAAAUUGGUAUAUAAGGCCAAGUUCUGAGGUGUGCUUACUAACUUUCAGCCCUUUCAGUGGACAAAGCUGGUUAGAAGACAGAUGCUCCAACUUCCCGGGAUGCUCAGGAGUGUCAGCCUAGCUCCUGGGAUUCUUGAAGCACUUGAAAUCCUACUACAUCAUGCAAAAUUGGAUUUGGAUUAUUCAACUUCCAAUUUUAUUUUUUAUUUUAAUUUUAUUUUUGCACAUUGGCCAGUGCCUUGGAGAGCAAUAUAAAUCAGUAAGUCUCUCCUGGCAUUUUCCUGAUCUCUGCUACAUCAUCUCAAAACCACAAAAUUCAGAUGUACAGAGUAACAAAACAUUACUUGAAGUUGAUAUUAAUAUAUAGAAAAUAGAAAGUUCACAUCACAUUGUAUCAUAUUAAUGGUGAAUAAAAUAGAAGUUACUGACCCAAGGACUGAUUUAAUCUCUUCAAAAAAUUCAGUGC
rnacentral:lncRNA from 10 species